rnacentral:rRNA from 1 species
GAUGAACGCUGGCGGCGUGCCUAAUACAUGCAAGUCGAGCGAACAGACGAGGAGCUUGCUCCUCUGACGUUAGCGGCGGACGGGUGAGUAACACGUGGAUAACCUACCUAUAAGACUGGGAUAACUUCGGGAAACCGGAGCUAAUACCGGAUAAUAUAUUGAACCGCAUGGUUCAAUAGUGAAAGACGGUUUUGCUGUCACUUAUAGAUGGAUCCGCGCCGCAUUAGCUAGUUGGUAAGGUAACGGCUUACCAAGGCAACGAUGCGUAGCCGACCUGAGAGGGGGUUUAGCCCCCUUGGCACUCUAACCUCGGCCCACGCCCCAUUGGGGGCCUCCAUUGGGAACCCUUCCGCAUUGGGCGAAUCUUUGCGGGAGACUCGCCGCAUGGGUCAUGAUGGUUUUGGUCUCAAAAAUCUUUUUUUUUAGGCAAACAAAAAUCUGUAAUUAUCUGUGCCCGUUUUUGGUGCACCUAAUCGAAGACCCCCGGCCCACUCGGU